ACAGCAGCAGCCGCGGGAAUACGUAGGGCGCAAGCGUUAUCCGGAAUUAUUGGGCGUAAAGAGCUCGUAGGCGGUUGUUCGCGUCUGCCGUGAAAGUCCGGGGCUCAACCCCGGAUCUGCGGUGGGUACGGGCAGACUAGAGUGAUGUAGGGGAGACUGGAAUUCCUGGUGUAGCGGUGAAAUGCGCAGAUAUCAGGAGGAACACCGAUGGCGAAGGCAGGUCUCUGGGCAUUAACUGACGCUGAGGAGCGAAAGCAUGGGGAGCGAACAGGAUUAGAUACCCCCGUAGUCCCUGUCUCUUAUAA
rnacentral:rRNA from 1 species